AUGCCAUCACCAGCUUCCAGCAUGGAGAGCGUCAUUGAGGACCCGGCCAGACAUCAGGGGAAUGUUGCUGCCGACGCAUUUCCUCAGCUUCCCCAGGAGAUGACUACCGGCGAGGAAAGGUUCUUCCUGCUGAUGUACAUCUGGCUGUGCAAGGAACCUCGCGACGAUCUCGCCCGCAUGCUGGAUGGACGCGCGGCAGCCGAGGAGGAGCGCCUUGUCGAAAACAUUAGCUGGUCCCACUUCUUCGAACAGGAAAGUCGGUUGUGUGCAUUGCAGGCGGUCAAUGUGAAUGCCUGCAGGUUGCGCGUGAGUACUUGA
rnacentral:rRNA from 1 species